UAAAAUAAAUUUUUGGAUAUUACACUUAUAAAGGUAAUUAAUAGUUUAUUAAGUUUAUAAAUAACAAUUAUUAAGUACUAAUAAUAUUAUUAAAUAUUUAAUCGAAAUUAUCAAUCGAAUUCGGAUUUUAACGACGGAUGUUUGUAGAUAUUCGAAUAUUUUCGGAUAAUUUUUUACAAAAAAUAUCAGUUCUCAAAUGAGAACUAAAUCUCAACCUUCCAUUUUCUUCCAAACCGUUGUUUUUCAAGCUCUAACAACCGGUGACACACUCUCUCAUCUUGUACUGUUUCGUUCAUUUUUUUAAUCCUUUUUAUUCACCGUUAUUCACCUCUCUUUUUUCACGUUUUCGUUUUGUCAGUAGUACCUGUCCUUCUACUGUUUUACUUCUUUCUUCCGUCAGAUUACUCUGUUUUUCUUUCCGUCAUUAGUAGCUGUUCUCUCUCUAGUCUUUCUUCCUUCUCCUAUCUUCCUCUGUUUUUGUUUUUCCUCCGUUUUCCCUCCUUCCGUCAAUUAGAUUGAGUAUUUUUUCCUACAUUCUAACAAAUGUCGAUGUAUCUUAAGUUCUUUGCUGCCAUUGAAGUCUAUGGGUUCUUCUUCUUUCCCUUUUCCAUUCUUACUCUGUCUCCGCCAUUUUAUUUUUUUCCCUCUUCUUUUUUCCGUCAAUUCCUUUGUCAGAUGUACUUCUUCUUCUUUUUCUUCUUCUUUUUCUUGUUCUUCUUCUUCUUCUUUUUCUUUACUUAUUCGUCCUAGUCUAAUCACCUGAUUUCUUUUUCACUGUACUCACCUACCUCUUCUACUGUUGACAAUCCAUUUCUUUGUCUUUUAUCUGUUGGCAUCAUAUGUCAUCCUAUACAAUCAAUAUCUUCUCAAAUUAUUCGUUUUAUACACAUUAUGAUAUUCUCAUAAUAUGUAUACUGUCUCCUGUAUUUCGUAGACGUCCUCUGCUAAAAUAUUUUUCAUAUGAAGAAAACCAAAUCUUUGUCUAUCCAACAUCGGUUUUGCCACAUUGUCUUUUUUACUAUUCAUCUGUCAAUAGUCGGGUUUGCCACCUUGUACAAUCUUCCGAUUUCCUUAUUUUUUGUCUUUUUGCCCCAACGUCUACUUCUACAAUCUCCAAACACUUCAUCGUCUUUUUUCUCUAUCUUGUCUAGGUCAUCCUGUUGGAUCGAGAUCCGAGGAUAUAAGGGGGGAUAAUAGCCUCUUUUCGAUUUAUACAGGUUGAUUGCGGAAUUACCUGUAAAUGCUUAAUAAACAAAUGGUUGAACAAUAAUGAUAUAAAUAUAUUAUAAUUUUGAUUGAUAUAAUAAUGUAAUUAUUACUCUUCGAAGCUUACCACAGUAUAUGAAUACUGAGUCAACUUGCUUGAUAGUGUUUUACACACAACUAUAGUAUAUGAAUACUAAGUUAUAUUGUAAACACAAAUUGUAUUGUAGAGUAAAUGACCAGAUAACUGGAUAUAUUGAUAAGCAAGUAAAUGACCAGAUAACUAGAUAUAUUGAUAAGCAAGUAAG
rnacentral:lncRNA from 1 species